GCUUCCCUACAUUUUACUUGGCUUAUGGCAUGCCCUAAUGUCGUCUCCUUAGCAACAAGCACUUGCUCUUUUUUAUGUGAAGUUUAUUUUCCUUCAUGCUGUUGCAAAAGAGUGCAAAUAUGGCUUGCAUAUCAGUACUAGUUAACUGUUAACCCCAAUGCCACUACGAGCCGCUCGAGAAUUCAAGGACAAUAUUUAGCUGAAGUUGAAAAUUCCAAACGCCUAUAAAAUAGAAUUUUGGCUCCACUGUUCAAACCGAGCGCAACAGAGUCGCGGUCCUUUUUCACUCCUCCGUUCUGCGUAAAUUUGAAUUUUGAGGAAAUGGUAGAACCAGAAACUUCAGAUUUCAAUCUCCUAUUUACCUUCGGUAAUUUUCUCUGUCUGAAUUGAGCUUUUCUUGCUGAAGGAUAGCUCCAUUUUUUCUUGCAUAUUUCCAUGAAUCUAACUCAGAAAUCAAUCAAAUACAGAUGUUCGAGUGGAAAUUUAUUAAUUGAUUUCAAGAAUUUGCAGUCAAGAUUGAAUUUUACAUCAUUGUCAUCAUCAAAUUUUCUCCAAAGUCAUGGGUCCAGACCCAUUUCAAACCCCCUUCACAACUUUCUACCUGAAACCCAAAACCCCCAAAACAUUGUUAGUCUGAUAUGCUCAGCACUAAAGAGCAAAAACAAUGGCCAUUUGGUCCUUCUUCAGAAAACCAUCGAAAAUCACGGGCUUAUUAGUUAUCUUAGUAACACUGAAGUCUCAAGGGUCCUGUUGAGAUGCCAGUCUGAUUCAUCUACUGCUCUUAGCUUCUUCAACUGGGUCAAGACUGAUUUGGGCGUCAAACCUAACACUCAAAACUACUGUCUUGUUAUUCAUAUAUUGACUUGGUCAAAAAACUUUUCACAAGCAAUGAAGAUUUUGUCUGAAUUGGUUGAUUUGAAGAGAGAUGGACUGGUCAGCGUAGAUUUGUUUGAGAGUUUGCUUUCAGCUAGUGGUGUAUGCAAUUGGGACCCUGUUGUGUUUGAUAUGCUAAUUAAGGCUUUUCUCAAGGUGAAUAUGGUGAAAGAUGGUUUUAGAGCUUUUAGAAAGACGGUGAAGCAUGGUAUGUGCCCGAGUGUUAUUACCAUAAACUGUCUUUUAAAUGGUCUUUCAAAGUUGAAUUAUAGCAAAAAAUGUUGGGAAGUCUAUGCUGAAAUGGAAAGAAUAGGAGUGCACCCAAAUGCGUGUACCUUCAAUAUAUUAACUCUUGUCUUGUGCAAGGAUGAAGAUGCGAACAAGGUCAAUGACUUCUUGGAGAAAAUGGAAGAAGAAGGGUUUCAACCUGAUAUAGUUACAUAUAAUACAUUAGUUAGUAGCUAUUGUAGGAAAGAAAGAUUGAAAGAUGCAGUCUACUUGUAUCAAAUUAUGUACAUUAGAGGCGUAUUACCAGAUUUGUUCACAUACACUAGUUUGAUAAAUGGCUUUUGUAGGAAAGGAAAUGUGAGAGAUGCUCAUCAGUUGUUCCUGAGAAUGGCUGACAGAGGGUUAAAACCAGAUCUUAUUUUGUAUAACACUCUUAUUUGUGGUUAUUGCAAAGAGGGGAUGAUGCAAGAAGCACGGUUUCUUUUGCAUGACAUGAUUGGAGAAGGGAUGUACCCUGAUAAGUUCACUUGUUCGGUUCUUGUACAAGGAUAUCAAAAGCAGGAUAAUCUAGUUUCCGCUGUGAAUUUCGUCACAGAGCUUCAAAGGUUUAGAUUUGUGGUAUCUCAUGAUAUAUACAACUAUCUAAUUGCUUCUCUUUGUAUGGAGAAUCGACCAUUUGCGGCCAAGGCUCUAUUGGAUCGAGUAUCUGGCAAUGGAUAUGAGCCUGACAAUAUGGUCUAUAGGGAGUUGAUUGAAUCUUUCUGCAGAUGGAAUUGCCCUGAUGAGGCCUUGUAUUUGAAAGCUGAGAUGGUGUCAAAAGAUUUGAAGCCCGAUAUAUGUACAUAUAGAGCUAUAAUUAAGAGUUUGUGUAAAUUAAGCCGAAGCAUGGAGGCUAAUUCCUUGAUGAGAGAAAUGACUGAUUUUGAUGUGCUGCCUGAUAUUGAAGUUUGUAGAGCUUUAGUAAAUGGGCAUUGCAGAGAAAACAAUUUCUGUGAGGCGCAAUCGCUGUUAAGCUUCUUUGCUCAAGAAUUUGGAAUAUUUGACACAAUUUGUUACAACGCAAUUGUCAGGUUUCUAAGCGCUGAAUGUGAUAUUGCCAAAUUGUUGAAAUUUCAAGAUAAAAUGAGGAAAGUGGGUUUUGCGCCAAAUCAGCUGACAUGCAAGUACGUAAUUGAUGGAUUACAGAAAGCUGUGAGAGUCCACAAAAUCAACACCCCAGUGCCGUAAUGAGGUAUACAUUUUACAUUGGAUGAUCCGUUUCUGAUACAGCACCUAUCAGAGAGGACCAAAGGGUGUUUUCAUUUUGCGGCAUAACUUUAGUUGAUAACCUCAAGGCAGCUAUUCCCUUGUAUGCAUUAGCGAGAAUUGCGUGUGGCAGUUUUAGUCUUCAAGCCUGAAUGAAUCGAGAAUGUUCAAAUUCUAUGGUGUCCACACAUGCUCGUUGAAGAAUACGAUCUAUACACAACGUCAACGUCAAGCAACAACCAAUGUAGUUGGGAGUGUUUUCAUGGACAAAUGUUCAGACCCAAAGAUGAUAUACGUGCCAAAGAACAUAAUAUUAAAUAUGAAGAAGGAUUAUGGUGUAACGUUAACCUACAUAUGAGCUUAGAGAGUAACGGAGAAGGCAAUUCAAUUGUUGCGAGCGGAUUCAAGUGAGUCCUACGGCAAGCUGCUUAGCUACUUGUUUUAGAAAAGACUUAUUCGUUCAGUUGUGAGCUUGCACAAAUCAGAGGAUAGAUAAUUUAUGUUGAUGGUAGCUUCCUUAAAGCCAUCUACAAGGGGACCUAACUUGUAGCUAGCACAAUGAAUACAACAGGUAGCAUACUGCCGCUCGCAUACGUUGUUGAUUAAGAGAAUGACGUCUCAUGGAGGUGGUUCUUCGAAUGAUUCAGAAAGGCUUUUGGUGAAAGCGCAAAUAUGUGUGUUGUGUUGUAUAGGAUAGGCUGCAAGUAUUAUGAAGGUACGUUGACGUCAAUGGUGUAUGAUGUGUACGUAUGUGUCAUCUAUGGAACAACAUUAGGUCUAAAUACUUGCGGAGUCAUCACAAGAUAAGGGGUUUGGACUUUGUCAUGCCUAGAGCAUACACUUUAGAAGAGUUUAAUCAACACAUGGUAAACGUUGAAUAGAUAGAUAAAAGCUAGGAUGAAAGAUUACUUGUUCAACCUUGGGAAUUAUAGGUAGAUCUCGGGCACAUUCAACGGUGAAUAAAACUUGGACAAUGACUUCAACUAUCGUAGAGUUAGUGUACGCAACGAAUAAGGAUGCCAAAGAGCUGCCAGCAUUGCCAGAAUUAUAACAUACUUUUAUCACGGCCGAUGAUGGUAAGAUUGUAUUCUACCAUAUGUAGUUUGAUAAACAGAAAUAAGGAAGAACUAGAUGUUCAGUUUGGAUGCAUGUUUAGUGUAUAUCUUUAUAUAUUUUCAGUUUAUAUUUUUUUUGAAUGUCCAAGUAUGCUUGCUCUAAUAUUUUUAGUAUCUCCGAUUGAUCUUUAAUGUUGCUA